ensembl:lncRNA
AAUGAGCACCAUAAUAACAAUUCAAUUUUCUGAGAACUGACUAGACCAAAAUGUUCCAUCCACCAGAAGAUACUUUUCUUGGCUGGUCAUGCCCCAUCAUGCUUCCAGUAGAAACGGCUGACAGAAGGCACAGAACCAAGAGCAUCCAGAGCUACAGGAAGUUCCAACACCAGGCUAGAAAGACCUGCUGCAGCAAUCCAUCACCAAAGCAAGGUCAGAAAUUAUCCUGACAGAUCCAAUGCAAUGAGUAGGAUGAAACCCCAAAGAAUUCAACCUGAGGUCAGGACUGGGUUCAAAAGCUCGGUAGCACAAAAUAUUGAAUGAGAAAAACUGACUUNNNNNNNNNNNNNNNNNUCCACUCCCUUCUUUGGAAUGGCAACCAAUCAGAAGGCAGCCUGAUACACUCGAAGGAGUACUGGACCAGUAGGAGCCCCUACUCUGUCCUCACUCCCCGUGAGAUGUGAGUUACUUAGCCUCCCUGGACCUCAGUUUCCUUUCCUAUAAAAUCAGCGGCUUGGACUACUAGACAAUUCUUACAGUGUAUAUUAACUUUAACAUGUAACUCACAUUUUCUCCAAGUCAAGGAGGCGUGGUAAUUUUAGUCGGCUUUAAGUUCAAUAAGAGCUAGUAGCAGUAGAGCAGCAGCCCAGCCAGCCCCUCAAUUGCUGGGCAGACCUCUGUUUAGUCACCAAUUUUGGGGGAAAGGGUACAUUUUGAGGGAUCUACAGGAAAGCUAGAGUCUGCCCAAAGAAAACUCUUCAGAAUUGUGGGAGAUCAUAUUCGAAUUAGGAAAAACUGAGAAACUGGAAAUAUUUAUUCUCAUGAAAACAGCCCUGGAAAGAACUGGAAUAGCUCUCAAGCCAAUAUCUGACAGGUCGCAGCUCAGAAGAGGAAUGCAGUCUGGACAGAGUGGGGCAGCUUGAGCCCAGCGCAUGAACCUGCCAUGGUGGGGCAGGAGGCUGGCCAGGUGAGAGGGGGCAGGCUGCUGCUGGAGGUGCUGGCCUGCGCCCCAGAAACAGCCUUGGGAGGCACAAGAGGAAACCAAAAUACUUCCAAGAUCUCUUAAUGCUGAGACCUGAGGAUUCAAAUUGAGGAAGGAGCAGGAAGGACUGAAGACAAGGCUGCUGGAAAAAUCAGAUGAGCAGGGUAAACUGGUGGUAAUGAGAGAGAGGACCUGGCUGCCUCUGUGAAUGACACAUUCAUCACAGGCAGUGCUGUCAGACCAACUAGCAAGAAGCAUGACCAGUGGACUGCCCCUCACAACCCGGAUGUGGGGUGCCUGGUUAGAGUGGGAGCAAUGAGACAGCAGAGCUCAGUGGCGUCCAGUUUCUGUUGGUUUUAUCUUUUAUCAAUAGAUUGUUGAUCCCCAGAGAGCAAGGAUCUUAUUUAGAUCUUUCUGCUCCCCCAUCGGUUAGCUCCUGGCUCCACUUCAGAUGCUCCACUGGUGUUCAAUAAACAGCUUGUCAAGUGCCUGCUUGAAUGGAUGAAGGAACAGCUAGAGCUCAAUGAACAUCUAUUGACUCAAUUAAUUAAUUAAUUAAUUGAUGGAAAAUUGACCUGGCCUUUCAUUCUGCUCUCAGGAGGGUGAAACUCUAAGAAAGGAGGCUCACAGUGGAAACAAAGAUGGAGGAGAUGAAAACUAAGGAAGAAAACAUGUUGGCAGAGGAAAAGGAGAGAGAGGUGGGGAGGGAAAAAAUGCAAAGAAACAUCAGUGUUAGGGGAGCAUCCAUCCUGGCUUCUGGAAAGGCAUUCCAUCUACCCAUCCAUCUAUCCAUACAGCAAUUCAUUCCAUGAUUCCUUUAUUCAUUCCUUUGAACAGCCUUUUUCAAGGGCCUACUCUCCCUCCAGCUUGUUCUCGAGACCACCUAAGACACCAUGAGGCAUAAAGUCCAGCUGGGCUUCUGGUGUCUGCACCAGAGUCUCACAAAAAGAAUUCUGCUAAAAAAAAUAAUAUAAGAUGCAUGAUGGC